GAGAGACAGAGUGCAAGUGGGGGAGGGGCAGAGAGAGAGGGAGACACAGAAUCCAAAGCAGGCUCCAGGCUCUGAGCUUUCGGCACAGAGCCCGAUGCAGGGCUCAGUCUCGUGAACUGCAAGAUCAUGACGGGAGCCGGAGGGAGACGCUCAACCAACUGAGCCACGAGGGUGCCCCGACAAAUAAGUUUUAACAACUAUAUAGUAUUCUUUGGUGUAGAUGUUCCCUUGUUUAUUUAUCAAAUCCCCAAUAGAUAGGCACUGAGAUUGUUUCACCCUUCUAUAAAAUUAUUAUUACUGCAGCGGCUGCUGCGGUGCACCAUCCACGUCCUGCCUUGAGGAGGGAGGCACUCAUACCCUCAGCCGCUGGGCGUUGGCCUGCUCUGUCCCUGUCUCGACUGGUCCUGAGCCUGUGCUGUCUCCCAUACAGUGCACGACCGGUCAAUGUGUGUGUGGAAAGCAGAGGACAGAGGCCUGGCCCCUUUGGCCUCAAUGGCGUAACUCCAGGGGCCGUUGCACCUCCAGAACUUGCCGUGGGAUUAGGUGAAGACUCAUUGCAACUGCACGGAACCUUAACAUCUCCCUCUAUUCAGUCCUGCUUCCCUCCUUCUUUACAGGCAUCGUUCGAAGAGAAUGUCCCAUUAAACCUCUGUUUUCUGGCCUCAGGUUUCAUGUGACUGUCGUCCUGCUGAAUGGCAGUUCUGCGCAGUACCUUUUAUCUUCCGGUCUUCGAGGCGGGAUAACAUGGGAAAGAAUCAGAUUUGCAUCAUCUAAAAAUUCAGCUAAUUCAGAACCUGAAAUCGAGUGAAAGGAACCUCCCGUGGAGUAUCUAAGAAGUCUCAGAGCUCUAUGUUCACCUGCUGCAGGCAUACGCAGCCUGUCCCCGACGUGGCCUUCCUGGGUGACGGACGAGCAGCCGGCAGGAGCCCCUUUCCCGGAGCUGCUGAGCUGGGGAAUGUUCAUCAGUGCACCUCACUCCCGCGUUUGCUCCCUGCGCCAGGGAGGGGCACCAAGCUGGUAGCGGGCACAGCCGUGAGGCCCUAAAGGAAGACUCCGAUUCCCCCCUAGAGCCCAUUCCUUCCGUUUCAUUUACUCUCUUCCUUAUCACUGAGCCCUCCCGACAGGGCAGAAAGCCAUCAAAGCCCGAUGCACACGGCUCACACACCUACUAGCUGGACAAGUUUUUUAAUUUCUUGAGCCUCCAUUUCUUCUUCUGGAAAACAAAAACAAUACCUUCCACACAA